rnacentral:rRNA from 1 species
AUUGAACGCUGGCGGCAGGCUUAACACAUGCAAGUCGAGCGAGCGGCGGACGGGUGAGUAAUGUCUGGGAAACUGCCUGCUGGAGGGGGAUAACUACUGGACACGGUAGCUAAUACCGCAUACCAUCAGAUGUGCCCAGAUGGGAUUAGCUAGUAGGUGGGGUAAGGGCUCACCAGGGCGAGGACCCCUAGCUGGUCUGAGAGGAUGACCAGCAAACCUGGAACGUGGACACGGUCCCGACUCCUACGGGAGGAAGCAGUGGGGAAUAUUGCACAAGGGGCGCAAGCCUGAUGCAGCCAUGCCGCGUGUGUGAAGAAGGCCUUCGGGUUGUAAAGCACUUUCAGCGAGGAGGCGUUACUCGCAGAAGAAGCACCGGCUAACUCCGUGCCAGCAGCCGCGGUAAUUC